rnacentral:misc_RNA from 1 species
UGUCCUAUAACUGUAACCAAUGGCAGGCAACUCCUCAAGGCCGAUUCUGGUGACCCUUCUCCUUUUCUCCAUGGCACUGUCUCUGCUGUCAUCUUGUUAUGCAGCUCGAGAUGCCCCACCAUAUCAUGUCAAGGAUCCAGGUGUUGGUGAAUCAAGGCUCAUAUGUCCUGCCUGUGUUUGUUGCAAACCUCCACCGCCAGGCUCCUGCUGCAAGUGUUGUGCUGCUCCUAUUGUAACCCAGCCCAACAAGGGCUCUCCAUGAGACAUGUUUAAAUUUUGAGAGCUCUCAGGCCCAUUAGUAAAAUAAAGAGAGUGUCUCAAUUAAUUAUAUAUAUAAUGGGACUAAAUAUUGUAAAAUGAGUAUGGUCAAGACAAAUUGAUCCAUAAU